AUUAGUAAACUACUGUGUUGGUGGUAUUCCUUUUGAAGAGUACAUGAUGCAAAACAAUAGUGUACAUGAUGUAAAACAAUAGUAUCUAACAGCCAUCUAGUUAUCUCGUUAUAAGUAAAAUUCACAAUGAUUUUUUAUUUAUGAACAAUUGUGAAAUCAUCGUCAGUGGUUGUAGUAACUUGGUUAUUACUCUUUUGAUCAUUUUCUCAUGUUUUGUCAAUCUUACAUUUAUUCUUUAUUUUCUACUAAUAAUAGCUUUUCUUAGUGACUCAUUUUUAUUCAAUGAUGAUA
rnacentral:lncRNA from 1 species